UAGUCAUGUCGGAUGGAUGGAGGGAGAGCUUCGUUUGUGAUGGCAGAGAAGACCCUCCUUGCCCUGAAGCCAGAGACCUUGAUGGAGAACUGAAGGCUUGAAGGGAUCUGAACAGCGGUGAAUGAAGUUCCUUCCCAAAUCACAACAGGAGCCAAAGGAAGUCACCCUGCAGCACCCAGUAAGGUUGCCAACUAAGUCACUACUGCAAGUUUGCAUUUACCUGCUUAUAUUGAAAAAGAUUUGUUAAGGUUGACGUGUAUAUCUUCUACAUAACCACAUUAGCUCUACACUGGAGGAAGAUCAUCCAGAGGGUUUGAAGAAGGUUUCUUAACUGUGGUUAAUAGAGCUGAUGGGAAUUGCAGAAUGACAGUAUCUGAAGAGCUGUGUUCCUCAGCUUUGCUUUAGAACAUUGGCUUCCAUGCAACUGCUAAGGUAAAUUAAUUUACUUCCUGCUAAUAUUAUGUUGAGAACCAGCAUGGUGUAGUGGUCUGA